GCGAACCUUCACACGCUUGAUCUCCACGUGCUACACAGGUGUCAUCCCAAUAUAUUGUCCGUACAACUCGAUCCUUCUCGCUAUAAAGCCACCACUCUCCCCCUCCUCCCUCUCUCUUUGGCGCUCACUCUCUCUCUCUCUCUCUCUCUCUCUCUCUCCUCCACUCGCUAUGGAUACGCUGCUUGAGGCUCCAUCAAUGGCGAAGCGGCCGUGCGUGUGCGCCAACGAUCCUGUUCUCCGCCACUCUCACUGUUGCUUAAACCCAAGGGUUUCCCAAUCGGACCAAAUGGAGGGUCUCCUGGAGGCGUUUCUCGAACUUUCCGAUUCUUCUGGUCCCUCUCUCCACCUCUCCUUCGAGAAGCUUCUCGAUUCUAGGGCUUGUGAUUCCGAUCAGAACCUGUUGAUCGAUCGCGCGCUUCGAUUGGGCUCAGCGCUGCUCGAAGCGGGUAAAAGAUCUGCUCGGAAGCGCGCUUCGAUCCAUAACUCGCUGACCUGGGCUCUACCUCCUGAUCUCACCAUCAAGGUAUUUUCUAUGUUAGAUACGCAAAGCCUAUGCUACACUGCAGCUACUUGUUCAAUGUUCCAUAAGUGUGCCAUGGAUCCUUUGUGCUAUGCCAAUAUUGACUUGACGACAGUAGUUCCAAAGGUCAACAAUGCAGUUGUAUCUACAAUGAUCCAACGAGCUGGAAAAGUCCUUCAGUCUCUUAGGCUUGGUAUAGUUCCUGGCCCAACUUUGUCACCUGGAUCUUCUCAGCCAUUGGUUUAUACCAUCAGGAAUUCUGUAGAUGCAGCUGGCUUCUCAUGGAAUGAUAAAAGAUCUAGACAGGGGAAGGAAUCAUCCAUUCUUUCCAGAUCCUGCUUAACUGCUCUUAGUGGGGAUAGUGGUGCUGCUGGGGCCCUUUUGAAAAGAUUGCACCUUUACAACAUUGAAAGAAUGGAUAACACAGCACUAUGUGCAGCAUUAUCGGCUUGCCCAUCUCUCCUUGAUCUGGAAAUUGUUGGCCUGCAUGUUGAAUUAAGGCAGACACUGAUGUCAGUGAGCACAAAUUGUCACUUGAUAGAGCGUUUAUUCUUCGAGUCUUCAAAAACAGGUAGAGAUGACAGUUUGAAGUCACCAACCUGUGUUGAUCUGGUAAACAAUUGUCCUCAUCUAACCUCAUUGGCACUUAGAGGGUUUAAGCUACACGACUAUAAAGUCCGCAUACUUGUUAAGGGAUUUCAUAAACUAAAAUACGUUGAUUUCUCGACAUCCUACUCAAUCACUGGCACCUUUUUAAGGAACCUUGGCAGCAGCACUGGUGGGAAUCUAUUGGAGGUUCUAUUAUUACGGGAUUGCAUGCAUCUCAAAGAAGUGGAGGUUGCUAAGUUUUUAUCAGCAAUUAUUGCAGGAGACUUCAGGCUACUGAGACUCCUUGACAUAUCCAACAGAGAAGGUCUAGCAUCCGAAGGGGACUGGUAUUACAGAUGUUAUAAUUCAAGUAUGAUUCCUAUAAAGCAGGUGUCGGAGGAAAGACCUGAUAUAUGCUUGCUGGCUGAGUUCCCUUCAGAGGGAAGUAUCAUUGAGAUUGAACAAAUGAUUGACAUCUUAAACAGUGAUGCCAGUUUGUCGUCACAGCUGAGCAGCCAUUCAUCAGACAGUUCAGUGUCUAUGAGUUCAUCUGAGAGCAGCUAUAAUAGUGAUCAGGGCAGUGGCAAUGAAGAUGGUCGAGAGACUGGUUAUGUAAUCUAUGAGGAAAGUUCUGACGAGGUGGACAUCCUGGCUGUGUAGGAGAAACAUCAAUGGUUGAAAGACUUGGAAUUUAUGGCCACUAAAUGAUUUCGGGUGGAGACUUUUACGAAGUAUGAUUUCUACUCGCGGACAGUGGAAUUUGCUCUAGCUGUGCAAAUUCCUGUGGAUCUGAGUCUGCUGUAGAAUUGCUGUUCGGUCGGUCUAUACUGACUUCGGCAAACAGGCCUCUACCCCACGCUUCUCCUCCCCCCACUUUUUUCCUUACUAGGGUUCAACUAGAGAAGCCAUUUGGGGGCUUUUCUUUUCCUUCUGUUUGGAAGCAAUCAUUGGGCCUAUGGCUCAUGCAGCUCAAAUUAAUGGCGGAUAUAUAUAUUUUUGUGAUCAACAUUUUAUCACAAUUGUAGUUACUGUGCAGGUAUAAAUCAAUCCAUUGGGGAUGCCUGUAGCCUGUUCCUUUA